GACAGAGGGUGCAAACGUUGCUCGGAAUUACUGGGCGUAAAGCGCGUGUAGGCUGACCGGAAAGUCGGGCGUGAAAUCCCUGGGCUCAACCCAGGAACUGCACUCGAAACUCCCGGUCUUGAGUGGUGGAGAGGGAAGUGGAAUUCCUGGUGUAGAGGUGAAAUUCGUAGAUAUCAGGAGGAACACCAGUGGCGAAGGCGGCUUCCUGGACACCAACUGACGCUGAGACGCGAAAGCGUGGGGAGCAAACAGGAUUAGAUACCCUGGUAGUCCACGCUGUAAACGAUGGGCACUAGGUGUCGCGGGUUUUGACCCCCGCGGUGCCGUAGCAAACGCGUUAAGUGCCCCGCCUGGGGAGUACGGCCGCAAGGCUAAA
rnacentral:rRNA from 1 species